rnacentral:rRNA from 1 species
GACGAACGCUGGCGGCGUGCCUAAUACAUGCAAGUAGAACGCAUAGGAUGCACCGUAGUUUACUACACCGUAUUCUGUGAGUUGCGAACGGGUGAGUAACGCGUACGUAACCUGCCUGGUAGCGGGGGAUAACUAUUGGAAACGAUAGCUAAUACCGCAUAAGAACAUUUACUGCAUGGUAGAUGUUUAAAAGGUGCAAAUGCAUCACUACCAGAUGGACCUGCGUUGUAUUAGCUAGUAGGUGAGGUAACGGCUCACCUAGGCGACGAUACAUAGCCGACCUGAGAGGGUGAUCGGCCACACUGGGACUGAGACACGGCCCAGACUCCUACGGGAGGCAGCAGUAGGGAAUCUUCGGCAAUGGGGGGAACCCUGACCGAGCAACGCCGCGUGAGUGAAGAAGGUUUUCGGAUCGUAAAGCUCUGUUGUUAAGGAAGAACGAGUGUGAGAAUG